rnacentral:rRNA from 1 species
UUGUUGGGGUUGUAGGACACUCUAUACGGAGUUACAAAGGACGACAUUAGACGAAUCAUCUGGAAAGAUGAAUCAAAGAAGGUAAUAAUCCUGUAGUCGAAAAUGUUGUCUCUCUUGAGUGGAUCCUGAGUACGACGGAGCACGUGAAAUUCCGUCGGAAUCUGGGAGGACCAUCUCCUAAGGCUAAAUACUCUCUAGUGACCGAUAGUGAACCAGUACCGUGAGGGAAAGGUGAAAAGCACCCCGGAAGGGGAGUGAAAUAGAACCUGAAACCGUGUGCUUACAAGUAGUCAGAGCCCGUUAAUGGGUGAUGGCGUGCCUUUUGUAGAAUGAACCGGCGAGUUACGAUUUGAUGCAAGGUUAAGCAGUAAAUGUGGAGCCGUAGCGAAAGCGAGUCUGAAUAGGGCGUUUAGUAUUUGGUCGUAGACCCGAAACCAGGUGAUCUACCCUUGGUCAGGUUGAAGUUCAGGUAACACUGAAUGGAGGACCGAACCGACUUACGUUGAAAAGUGAGCGGAUGAACUGAGGGUAGCGGAGAAAUUCCAAUCGAACCUGGAGAUAGCUGGUUCUCUCCGAAAUAGCUUUAGGGCUAGCCUCAAGUGAUGAUUAUUGGAGGUAGAGCACUGUUUGGACGAGGGGCCCCUCUCGGGUUACCGAAUUCAGACAAACUCCGAAUGCCAAUUAAUUUAACUUGGGAGUCAGAACAUGGGUGAUAAGGUCCGUGUUCGAAAGGGAAACAGCCCAGACCACCAGCUAAGGUCCCAAAAUAUAUGUUAAGUGGAAAAGGAUGUGGCGUUGCCCAGACAACUAGGAUGUUGGCUUAGAAGCAGCCAUCAUUUAAAGAGUGCGUAAUAGCUCACUAGUCGAGUGACACUGCGCCGAAAAUGUACCGGGGCUAAACAUAUUACCGAAGCUGUGGAUUGUCCUUUGGACAAUGGUAGGAGAGCGUUCUAAGGGCGUUGAAGCAUGAUCGUAAGGACAUGUGGAGCGCUUAGAAGUGAGAAUGCCGGUGUGAGUAGCGAAAGACGGGUGAGAAUCCCGUCCACCGAUUGACUAAGGUUUCCAGAGGAAGGCUCGUCCGCUCUGGGUUAGUCGGGUCCUAAGCUGAGGCCGACAGGCGUAGGCGAUGGAUAACAGGUUGAUAUUCCUGUACCACCUAUAAUCGUUUUAAUCGAUGGGGGGACGCAGUAGGAUAGGCGAAGCGUGCGAUUGGAUUGCACGUCUAAGCAGUAAGGCUGAGUAUUAGGCAAAUCCGGUACUCGUUAAGGCUGAGCUGUGAUGGGGAGAAGACAUUGUGUCUUCGAGUCGUUGAUUUCACACUGCCGAGAAAAGCCUCUAGAUAGAAAAUAGGUGCCCGUACCGCAAACCGACACAGGUAGUCAAGAUGAGAAUUCUAAGGUGAGCGAGCGAACUCUCGUUAAGGAACUCGGCAAAAUGACCCCGUAACUUCGGGAGAAGGGGUGCUCUUUAGGGUUAACGCCCAGAAGAGCCGCAGUGAAUAGGCCCAAGCGACUGUUUAUCAAAAACACAGGUCUCUGCUAAACCGUAAGGUGAUGUAUAGGGGCUGACGCCUGCCCGGUGCUGGAAGGUUAAGAGGAGUGGUUAGCUUCUGCGAAGCUACGAAUCGAAGCCCCAGUAAACGGCGGCCGUAACUAUAACGGUCCUAAGGUAGCGAAAUUCCUUGUCGGGUAAGUUCCGACCCGCACGAAAGGCGUAACGAUUUGGGCACUGUCUCAACGAGAGACUCGGUGAAAUCAUAGUACCUGUGAAGAUGCAGGUUACCCGCGACAGGACGGAAAGACCCCGUGGAGCUUUACUGUAGCCUGAUAUUGAAAUUCGGCACAGCUUGUACAGGAUAGGUAGGAGCCUUUGAAACGUGAGCGCUAGCUUACGUGGAGGCGCUGGUGGGAUACUACCCUAGCUGUGUUGGCUUUCUAACCCGCACCACUUAUCGUGGUGGGAGACAGUGUCAGGCGGGCAGUUUGACUGGGGCGGUCGCCUCCUAAAAGGUAACGGAGGCGCUCAAAGGUUCCCUCAGAAUGGUUGGAAAUCAUUCAUAGAGUGUAAAGGCAUAAGGGAGCUUGACUGCGAGACCUACAAGUCGAGCAGGGUCGAAAGACGGACUUAGUGAUCCGGUGGUUCCGCAUGGAAGGGCCAUCGCUCAACGGAUAAAAGCUACCCCGGGGAUAACAGGCUUAUCUCCCCCAAGAGUUCACAUCGACGGGGAGGUUUGGCACCUCGAUGUCGGCUCAUCGCAUCCUGGGGCUGUAGUCGGUCCCAAGGGUUGGGCUGUUCGCCCAUUAAAGCGGUACGCGAGCUGGGUUCAGAACGUCGUGAGACAGUUCGGUCCCUAUCCGUCGUGGGCGUAGGAAAUUUGAGAGGAGCUGUCCUUAGUACGAGAGGACCGGGAUGGACAUACCUCUGGUGUACCAGUUGUCGUGCCAACGGCAUAGCUGGGUAGCUAUGUGUGGACGGGAUAAGUGCUGAAAGCAUCUAAGCAUGAAGCCCCCCUCAAGAUGAGAUUUCCCAACUUCGGUUAUAAGAUCCCUCAAAGAUGAUGAGGUUAAUAGGUUCGAGGUGGAAGCAUGGUGACAUGUGGAGCUGACGAAUACUAAUCGAUCGAAGACUUAAUCAA